rnacentral:misc_RNA from 1 species
GGUGGGGUUCUUAGAGAAAUUUCUCGCCAUAGUUCUGUGGAGCUCAUUGAUAUUUGUGAGAUAGAUAAGAUGGUUAUAGACGUGUGCAAGGAAUAUUUUCCAGAAUUAUCUGUUGGAUUUGAGGACCCUCGUGUCCGACUACAUGUAGGUGAUGCUGUGGAAUUUCUUCAUCUUGCUCCAGAAGGGAAGUAUGAUGCAAUUAUUGUUGAUUCAUCAGACCCCGUAGGUCCAGCUAAAGAGCUUGUGGAGAAGCCCUUUUUUCAG